rnacentral:rRNA from 1 species
CCUACGGGAGGCAGCAGUGAGGAAUAUUGCACAAUGGAGGAAAGCCUGAUGCAGCGAAGCAGCGUGAAGGAAGAAGUAUUUCUGUGUGUUAAGCUCUAUCAACAUGGAAAUAAAUUGCGGUACGUGACUAAUAAUCCACGUCUAACUUCAUGCCAGCAGCCGCGGUAAUACGUAGGGAGCAGGCGUUAUCCGGAUUUACUGGGUGUAAAGGGGACGUAGAUGGCCAGACAAGUCAGAAGUGAAAGUCUAGGGCUCAACCCUGGGACUGCAUUUGAAACUGGCAGGCUUGAGUGCAGUAGAGGUAAGCGGAAUUCCUAGUGUAGCGGUGAAAUGCGUAGAUAUCAGGAGGAACACCAGUGGCGAAGGCGGCUCACUGGACUGUAACUGACGUUGAGGCUCGAAAGUGUGGGGAGCAAACAGGAUUAGAUACCCGAGUAGUC